UACGAAGGGGGCUAGCGUUGUUCGGAAUUACUGGGCGUAAAGCGUGCGUAGGUGGUUUGUUAAGUCUGUUGUGAAAGCCCCGGGCUCAACCUGGGAAUGGCAAUGGAUACUGGCAAGCUAGAGUGCGGUAGAGGGUAGUGGAAUUCCCGGUGUAGCGGUGAAAUGCGUAGAGAUCGGGAGGAACACCAGUGGCGAAGGCGGCGUCCUGGACCAACACUGACACUGAUGAGCGAAAGCCAGGGGAGCAAACGGG
rnacentral:rRNA from 1 species